GCGCCGGUGGUGUAAGGCGAACAUCGCUGCCCGGAAAGCAGAAGAUGCGGGUUCGAGUCCCGCCUGGACCA
rnacentral:tRNA from 1 species